GAAUUUUGGACAAUGGGCGCAAGCCUGAUCCAGCAACGCCGCGUGCAGGAUGACGGCCUUCCGCUUGUAAACUGCUUUUUUUCGGAACGAAAAGCUUUGGGCUAAUCCCCUCGAGUCAUCACGGUAUCGUAAGAAUGAGCUACGGCCAACUACGUGCCAGCAGCCGAGGUAAUACGGAGGGUGCAAGCGUUAAUCGGAAUUACUGGGCGUAAAGCGUGCGCAGGCGGUUGUGGAAGACAGAGGUGAAAUCCCCGGGCUCAACCUGGGAACUGGCUGUGUGACUGCAAGGCUAGAGUACGGCAGGGGGGGGUAGAAUUCCGCGUGUAGCAGUGAAAUGCGUAGAUAUGCGGAGGAACACCGAUGGCGAAGGCAACCCCCUGGGCCUGUACUGACGCUCAUGCACGAAAGCGUGGGGAGCAAACA
rnacentral:rRNA from 1 species